UGUUCGUCCCCUCGCGACAUGCCUCUGGGAACCCCGCCAGGUCCGGAAGGAAGCAACGGUACCAGAUGCGCAUGGGCGCCGAGGUUCAGGCGGGCAGGC
rnacentral:SRP_RNA from 2 species